CUUUUAUCAUCAUUUCAUUUAUGCCUGUUAGCAUGAAAAAAGAGGCUGAGAAGGGAAGAUGGUGACAAGG
rnacentral:miRNA from 1 species